AUUGAACGCUGGCGGCAGGCUUAACACAUGCAAGUCGAACGAGUGGCGGACGGGUGAGUAAUAUCUGGGAACCUGCCUGAUGGAGGGGGAUAACUACUGGAAACGGUAGCUAAUACCGCAUACCAUCAGAUGUGCCCAGAUGGGAUUAGCGAGUAGGUGGGGUAAUGGCUCCCCUAGGCGACGAUCCCUAGCUGGUCUGAGAGGAUGACCGGCCACACUGGAACUGAGACACGGUCCAGACUCCUACGGGAGGCAGCAGUGGGGAAUAUUGGACAAUGGGCGCAAGCCUGAUGCAGCCAUGCCGCGUGUGUGAAGAAGGCCUUCGGGUUGUAAAGUACUUUCGGCAGAGAAGCGGUAUCUGCAGAAUAAGCACCGGCUAACUCCGUGCCAGCAGCCGCGGUAAUAC
rnacentral:rRNA from 1 species